rnacentral:rRNA from 1 species
UGGGGAAUAUUGGACAAUGGGCGCAAGCCUGAUCCAGCAAUGCCGCGUGUGUGAAGAAGGCCUUCGGGUUGUAAAGCACUUUUAUCAGGAGCGAAACGCUGUCGGCUAAUACCCGGCGGAACUGACGGUACCUGAGGAAUAAGCACCGGCUAACUUCGUGCCAGCAGCCGCGGUAAUACGAAGGGUGCAAGCGUUAAUCGGAAUUACUGGGCGUAAAGCGUGCGUAGGCGGUUUCUUAAGUCUGCUGUGAAAUCCCCGGGCUCAACCUGGGAAUGGCAGUGGAUACUGGGAGGCUAGAGUGUGUCAGAGGGUGGUGGAAUUCCCGGUGUAGCGGUGAAAUGCGUAGAGAUCGGGAGGAACAUCAGUGGCGAAGGCGGCCACCUGGGACAACACUGACGCUGAGGCACGAAAGCGUGGGGAGCAAACAGGAUUAGAUACCCUGGUAGUCCACGCCCUAAAAGCGAUGCGAACUGGAUGUCGGUCUCAACUCGGAGAUCAGUGUCGAAGCUAACGCGUUAAGUUCGCCGCCUGGGGAGUACGGUCGCAAGACUGAAACUCAAAUGAAUUGACGGGGUCAUAGCUGUUUCCUG